ACCAUAUCUAUAAUUCAACUUUCUGGAUCAGCUCUUAAAUAGAAGUUUUUACUUGUUGUGAGUCUUUUAAAAUUUGUUCAUUUUAAGGUUCUUGUUCUGUACAGAAGUUUAGUAAGACCUUGGUUUCAAGAUAAUCUGUAUAGGUGAGUGUAUUAAAUAGAUAACUAGAAAAUGGUUUGAGCAGACAGAUGGGAUGGUUUUAUAUGAUGAUUUAUAGAGAAGGACUGGAAGACAAAAAAUGGGCAUUGUAUUUUAUUAUAGACCCAAGAAUAUUAUUAAUAAGCUGUCUGUCUGGUUUUUAUGAAAAUCAGUAUGUAAAGAAAUGUAUUUACUUACUGAGACUGUGAGAACAUGAGAAAAUCCCUAACUUUGAGUAGUGUUUUUCUUGGUGGUUUAGAACAAUAAGCUUUUAUUUUAUUUAGAUGGAAUAAGUUUGUACACCAUACUCAAGUAAUAACAUACAUGCUUAUUUAUGAACAGGGCUGUUGCCUGCCAAGAAAGCAGGCUUCCCUAGAGAGGUCCCAGAUGGGUGGAGGAGAAAUCCUCACAGCUGACAUUGUGUCUUAUUAAAGACCCAUGUCUUUAAUGGAUCUGGGGAUGUAUCUCAUGGUAGAGCACUAGCAUGGGCAAGGCCCUGGGUUGAAUCCUCAGCACUCCCCCUCCCCACAACAACAAAC